ACGGCCGUUCGUGUCUGAUGUUUGAGCCGUGGCUCGGAACGUCAACGCCAAUGCUGAUCCGUGGAACAGAAAACGUGCUUUCCGUCCUCGUGGGGUCGGGGCGCAGUCGAUGCCCAUUUUCAUUGCGAUAGAGCAGAGCAGAUAAGAUAAGGUUCCUGUUCCUCGAAGGACAGGCGCCCGAAGAAGACGACGCCAUUGAUGGGGAUGGGAUUCCUACAGCAGCUAAUCAGCCGAUCCCCACACUGAUUGAAGCGGUGGACGACACUGAAUGCAUGCGAGAUCCGCUGCGGCGAAUGGCUGCCUUGACGGUUGUUGGUGUGGAUUAGGUGCCGGCGCCGGCCGCGAGUGCAGACGCACAGAUCUGCUCGAGCGUGGUGUGGUUGGCAGAAGGAAGAACUCGUCGCCGCCCUCGCAGGUCUCCACGGGAAGGCCAGCCCACAAGCUCCUCGGUGGUUAAAGAGGCUAAGGAACUUUCUGCAGAACGGCUGCUUCUUCAGUGCCCAAGCUUGAAAGAUGUUCAUGUCUAUCGAUGUUGUGAUAUGUUGAUCGGAGCAAUCAGAAACGAGGUGAGCCGUGGAUCAGGUUCUCGAUUUCUGUCUGGUCUGUGGCUCAGAAAAGUCGAUGCUCCAUGGAUUCAAUGCAAGGUGAGUCUGUUCUACCCCAACGCGGCCGUCAUUUUGGAACUUCAGAAGCAAGGGAGGGAGUGGACGAACACACGACCGAAAGCGAUGGAUUUCCUCCUGCAAUCAGGAGAUCCACUCUGAUUGAGGUUGGGGAGAGUCUAGUGCUGGAAGGUCGCCGGCACAUGGCACCAGGCGGACAGUGGUCAAGGUGAUGCUGCAGGAGGCCAUGGGUGUGAGCGCCAAAGGGCGGAUCUGCGGCGUUGCUGAAGCGGCGGAAGUGACAAGGGGCAGCUCGCCUCUCACUUCCGAGCUGUCGACGGGGAAGAUGAAUCUUCAGGUUCCUCGUUGGAACAAGAGGUUGAGGACUGGAGCCUCUGCCCCAAGCUUGACGCCUUGCCCACCCCGCAUAAGCACUUUUGAGAAGGCAGUUAGGGUGUUCAUAGAAAACCUGACUGAAGAUGAGCCAUGGCUUGUAAUUUGGUGGCGGUAAUCUGGUCCGUGGACCAGGAAAUUCGCUUUACGUAGGUGGAUGGCUUGAAUCAUUCACUGCAGGCCGGCGGCUCCCCAGCUGCGGUAUCCAAAUCCAUUUCCAGUCAGCGGGGUGCUCCAGCGCACGCGAAUCCAUUCGAGCGAUGGAGUUCCAAAUGCAGCUAAUUAGAAGGUAUCCUCUGGUGGAGGAGGUGAGUGAGAGUGACCAGGAGAGGGGAUCUGCCAACAAGCAGGGCGGUGGCGACUUUCCCGGCAGUGGAUGAACCGUCGGCGGCCUGUCCGCGCAGAUGUGUGAAUUACAGACCGCCGUGUUGGGAAAACAGAAGAGCCCGCUGCAGUAGUCUAAACUAUCAACUGAUCAAAAUCGAGCAGCGGAGGUCGCAAUCAAGAGUGUGAUGCUUGUUGGUGUGUCGACGGCUGGGGCACAAGAGAACUACGUACUUACCCGGAUCUCGGUGAUGUGCCAAAGCAGCCUCGGAAGCCGGCGAGUUGCAAAAAUUGUGGUGUGGUGGGGCACCAAAGGAACAAUUUUACGAAAGCGAUGGAGCUGAGAUUAGCUGGUGGCGUGUAGUGGUGAGUGAAAAAUGCCAAACGAUUUCAGUAAGUUUGAAUUGUCAAUCGCAAGCAUGACUUGUUUUCUGCAUUCAUGAUGUGUUUGUGCAACUGAGCACCUGCCCUGCGUGCAGGCAUGCUUUAUGUCUCGGAUUAGUUUGCUGGCGUUGCGUUACCCGCCUAGAGCUAGUGGUGUGGUGUAAUCCAUCUCCAAGUUUGUUGUUCUGCCGUAGUUAAUUAAGUUCGUAAUCAUCA